CCCUUAGAGUUUGAUCCUGGCUCAGGAUGAACGCUAGCUACAGGCUUAACACAUGCAAGUCGAGGGGCAGCAUGACCUAGCAAUAGGUUGAUGGCGACCGGCGCACGGGUGAGUAACACGUAUCCAACCUACCGGUUAUUCCGGGAUAGCCUUUCGAAAGAAAGAUUAAUACCGGAUAGUAUAACGAGAAGGCAUCUUUUUGUUAUUAAAGAAUUUCGAUAACCGAUGGGGAUGCGUUCCAUUAGUUUGUUGGCGGGGUAACGGCCCACCAAGACAUCGAUGGAUAGGGGUUCUGAGAGGAAGGUCCCCCACAUUGGAACUGAGACACGGUCCAAACUCCUACGGGAGGCAGCAGUGAGGAAUAUUGGUCAAUGGACGAGAGUCUGAACCAGCCAAGUAGCGUGAAGGAUGACUGCCCUAUGGGUUGUAAACUUCUUUUAUAUGGGAAUAAAGUG
rnacentral:rRNA from 1 species